UUAAAAAAAAAGACAUAAAGAAAACCAUACCUCUAAUCCGACUAAUUGGCCGAUAACAAUACUGGUAUCGGACCGCUCUUGUUGCGAUUUUGAGCUUAAAAAUUCGACAAGGAUUUUUAGAGCGUAUAUUUCAGAAAGGAAAACUCUAUCUUGCUUGACAGAUAUGUCAAACAUAGAAGCUUUAUCCUCACCAAAAAGCUGCUCGUAAUCUUCUAAAGAUUUAUAGGGAGUAGUAGUUAUUUGUGAAUAAACGCCAGUUGAAUCAUGAAUUGAUAUAACUCCGCCAAUGUCAUUUAAAUAUAUAUCAGUAGUUUUUCCAUUAUCUAAAGAAUCAAGCUGACGCUCAUAUCGACACAUUAAACUGGCAAAUGCAUUACUGGAAGGACAAGAAGAGAUGCGAAAAGCAGGGUUCAGAGUAUCAAACAGUUCAGACUCCGCCAAUCCGGCAAUUGUCAAAAAAGUAUUAGACUUUUCUGCAUAAAAAAAAGAAGAAAGCUCAGAAUGACUGUGGAGCAUUUCAUUAAUAAUUUUUCUAGCACCGCUAUGUGAUUUCAGCUUGUGGAACCGUGAUACGCCCAGUUUAUGAGCAAAUACAAGCCUGGAAUCUGAAGGAGAAAUUGAAGGGACUUCAUUUUCAUUACCAGAGAGACCUGACAUAUAAACUGAAGCCUCAGUAUAUGAAACACCUAAAACUGGUUAAUAAACGCAAUCUAAAACUAUUUAGGACGAACCUGAGGCCAAAGCUAAUGUACAUCCACCGAUAAAGAAAAUAAAAUAUCUAAGGAGACUCAUACGUGUUUAUUUCGCAAGGAUGGUGGAGGGAAGCACUUCUGUAGUCCUUUUGUGGUAGAUCGCAGCUCCUUGGGUUACAACCAACGAAGUGUAAUUGCCAUUACUCUUCUGUGUUAAUACCUGGUACGUUUAGUCUUUAAAAAUUUGAUUUAAAAGAGGAUGUCGUGAAUAAUAGUUUCUCUCAUUUUAUUAAAUAAAACGACUCGUAUUUCGUUUAUUACUUUUUGUAUCUAAUGUAUAAAACUUCAUCUUUUUAUACUACUGGUCGAUAAGACGAUUUUUUAACAAUCCAAUGCUAUAAACUAAAUUCUUUUAUUAAACUUUUGCACCUUUACGUUGAAUCUUGUCUCAGGACUUCUUUUUUCCAUCCUACUUUAUAGUCCUUGAUUUGUUGUAGUGAUGCUGAUAUUCCUGCUGAUUU